UGUUUAGAAUGAUGUUUUCCCAGGUGUUCUGUUUAGAAUUAUGUUUUCCCAGGUGUGCUGUUUAGAAUGGUGUUUUCCCAGGUGUGCUGUUUAGAAUGGUGUUUUCCCAGGUGUGCUGUUUAGAAUGGUGUUUUCCCAGGUGUGCUGUUUAGAAUGGUGUUUUCCCAGGUGUGCUGUUUAGAAUGGUGUUUUCCCAGGUGUGCUGUUUAGAAUGGUGUUUUCCCAGGUGUGCUGUUUAGAAUGGUGUUUUCCCAGGUGUGCUGUUUAGAAUGGUGUUCUCCCACGUGUGCUGUUUAGAAUGGUGUUUUCCCAGGUGUGCUGUUUAGAAUGGUGUUUUCCCAGGUGUGCUGUUUAGAAUGGUGUUUUCCCAGGUGUGCUGUUUAGAAUGGUGUUCUCCCAUGUGUGCUG